AAACGACGCAUAAUCUUGUUUGAGGUCUAUCGAAAGAAAUUGCUGGAUUGUGAUCCAUUAUUAAUUGAAACAUGACAUCUAGGGGUGAUUAUUCUAGUACAUGGGUGUUCAUAGCUGGCGUUAUUUUAUUACAAUUUGGAUUUGUCAUACGUGAAGUUGGUGCUGUCCGGAUUAAAGACACGAAAAGAAUAAUCAUCAGGCACGUCGUCAAUCUACUUCUCUCCGGAGUUGUUUAUUGCCUGUUUGGUGUCGUACUCGCCUUAAGCGAUGGUGGUGUCGCAGACAAGUUUAUUGGCACAACAUUUGUCUUUCUUUACGAGUUGAUUGCAUACGUUUUCAUUCUCACCCAGUCCGCUUUUGCAUCCAUUACCACGUCAAUAGUGACUGGUGCUAUUGCAGAGCGUUGCAAGUUAAUCGCAUAUUUUAUAACCACUGUGUUUAUAUCAGGUUUUAUUCACCCGGUGGCAAGGCAUUGGACUAUAUAUGGUAGGGGAUGGUUGAACAUCGAACCCAUCGUUUAUCAGGAUAAUGCUGGUAGCGGUACGAUUCACGUUGUGGCAGGAAUCGCAGCGCUUGUUGGAGCCGCGAUGCUUGGUCCUAGAACUGGUCGAUUUGAUUCCAGCCUUAAAAAAGACUUCACAGAAAGAUGCUACUCAGCACGAGUAGCUGCUGUAGGAGGAUUUAUUCUGCUGAUUGGGUUCUUAGCCUUCAUCUGGGGAUGUCGGGAACUCUUUGUCUUUGAAUCUUCAUAUGCUCCAAUAGCUCUUUCCAAGGUCAAUCCUUCCGCAUCCUGCUUUAUUGCUGCUAUCACUUCACUCUUUAUCAAUAGGUAUUUUGGGAAAAAAUGGAGUCUUUUUGUUGCCAUCAAUGGAGGUUUGGCUGGAAUGGUUGCCAUUUCCGCCGGAAGUGAUCAUUUUGAACCGUAUGCCGCAGCCGUAGUUGGACUUAUUGCCGCCAUUGUAUACAGAACCUUCUCUGUCCUCUUGGCUUAGACUCCGUAUAGAUGAUCCUCUGGAUGUUGUGGCAGUCCACUUUGUCGGAGGAAGCUGGGGUUUGAUAGCUGUAGCAAUCUUUCACAAGACCAAAGGGAUACUUUAUACAUGGCAGACCGAAUCUGCAGCAUCUAUACUUGGCUAUCAGUUGUUAGGAUUGGUUGCCAUAGCUGUGUGGACGGCUGUGCUUUCUGGACUCAUGUUUGGGAUCCUUAGAUGGUUUGGUAUACUGAGAGUAUGCGACGAAGUUCAGGAAAAAGAAUUUGCACACCCAGCACACGAAUUUAUGGAAAUUAAAAAAGAAAACGAAGAGACAGUGGAUAUCACCUUUAAUGCUUCUCCAGAGAAGAUUUGCCAAAAGGACACAUACUUUGCCGGCGACAAAGCCAGUGACUUCCAUCUUUGAUGCUUCACGGAAUGAAUAGUCAGUCAAAUACACAGACAACUGGAGACGAAAUGUCCUCUUGUAACAUUUAUACUAAUAUCAGGUACAUCUUAUUAGCAGACUAUGUUUGAUUAUUAAGAAUAUGUCAGACACAACAUCAAUCUGCAUCAGAAGAUCAUUUUGUACUACUUUACUCACUUUAUUGUAAAGAUAAAUCAGAAUGAUUUAGCUUUGUAAAUCAGGUAUAGCGGGGACAUGAACCUACGUUAAAGUUAGUAUCCUCUUAAUAUAAUUCUAAAUUUGAAAUUAAGCUGGUUUGAUUGAUCAUAGUGAAUUUUUUUUAUCUCAGACUGUAAAACGAUCGUGUUAUUACAUGUAAGUAUAAAAAUCGACUUCUGUGGCUUACGUCCCUUGUUUAUGACGUAGGUAAGUGAAUUUUUAAUGACACGUUGGUUAUUAAAAAAAAUAACGUUGAAAGUUUCAAAUCUAAUAAAACCCGUUUAUAUAAAACUGAUUCACAUUUUGACAUUCAUUAAGAAAAGAUUUUUGUGGAACAAAACGUUACUUUUACGUAGUAUAUAUCAGAUCAGUUUUGUACAAGACGCCAAUGAUGUAAUUUUGGUUAAAUUGGUAAAGUCUCCAAAUAGGCUUUUAAAGCAACAUAAUUAUGACUACAUGUAACAAAAAAUCGUUCCAUAUGUUUUGUAAUGCUUUUGUUUGUCUUUAUUUUUUUUUAUCAUGAAGCUAUGCAAACAUUUAAGUUGUAAUUCAUUCUGUUUUAUAUACAUGCAUAUUGUUUGGUUUGAGGAAUUGUUUUAAUUUGUUUUUUCCAUUAGUUAAGUAAGAUGUUUUGAUGUAUUUAUUUAUUAAAAUCUACUCGUGUGUUGGCCACCUUUUUAAAUCCCUUACCGUGCUCAAUAAUGUUUACAACAGUGACCAAUCACGUUGCAUGUAAUAGGCUUUUUCUUGUUGCUUGUUUGCAUUUACUAUAUUAUUAAAUUUCAUUUG
rnacentral:misc_RNA from 1 species